rnacentral:lncRNA from 1 species
AAAAGGAAGCUUGUCUGAGCCUAAAGAAAGAGCUGUGUACAGGAGGGGUGUUGUCAUAGAAAGCAAUUUACACAGGAGAAUGAGGACAGUUUUGUGUUCAGGAGUUACAGAAAGGACACUUUUUAAAAGCUCGUUUCAGAGACUAACAAAACAAGGCUGAUUGACUUUAGAUUUGAGUUACUCGAAUUUGGUGCAUCCAAUUCAGUGAACCUGUCUGCCAAGCUAUCAGAUGGAGAAGAUAACCUGGGGAUGAUGUACCCCUUGAAGCGAAGUUACCAUAGCAUC